rnacentral:lncRNA from 1 species
GGAGUUUUAGAAAGGAAAAAAGGAAGAAGCACUUAUAUAAAAUCUACUAUAUUCCAGGGCCUCAUCACAGCAUGGAGUAUCCCUGAGGAUGGAUGCCAAUAAAUAGGUGGCAGCAUGGGAUGUUGCUGAACUGGAAUUCGAGUCAGGGGUCCUGGGUUCAGAUUCUGAUUCUGCCACUUGCCUUCUGUAUGACUUCAGAUGAAGGAACAGAAGCUGGAAAAGGAGAAGUGACUCCUCCCAGAGUGACAGAGGUUCCUCGACUGGUUCAUGACAGCGUGGGAACUGAGGCCAAGGGUUCUAGCCUCCCGACCAAGUGCUCCUUCUGAUGAGAAACUUCCUCUCUGCACUAAAUAACAACUCUCACUUCCUGAGAUCUCUGACUUCUGUGGAACACUUUCCCCAGAGCAGCCCCUUCCGCCACAGGUAUGUUACCCCCAUUUUGCAGAUGACAAAACUUAAGCCCAGAGAUGGAAGAUGAAGAUUGCCUUGCUCUAGGUCACACAGAUAACCUAAUAAACAGAUCCAGGCCCCAAAGCA